rnacentral:lncRNA from 1 species
CCCGGGCCUGCCUCGCCCCGCCGCACCGCGCUGCCGCCGCGAUGUCCCUCCUGCUUCCCUCGGCCUUUCCUGAAGCCUAGGGCCCAGGUGCAGGGGCGAAUUCGCAGCACGAUUGUAAGGCGGUGAAGUUUCUCUCCGGAAAUAAAGUUUGCGUGCUUGCCCUGCAAAAGAUGAGAUGGGUCCAAAACGUGAAAAACGGUGUGAGAAACAAGAACAAAAAAAAAAAAAAGCAUUUAAAGCCAGCUGUCUGUGUCUGAACAACAUGGAGUAUCAUGACUUUACAACAGCAGUGUAAAACUUACCACAUAACUACAAGAUCUGAAUCAGGAAGACAGUCUCUUUAGAUUCACAGCAGAAGGAAUGGUCUUCCAGACAUAGCACCUGUAAAUGAAAAGAUAGGGCAGGAAGAGCUAGAAGGUAGGUGGAGCUCUCAGAGCUCUGUGUCUCCACAGAGCAUCAUCACGGAACAUAGAUGCGACAUGCUAAAAUCCAACUAUUCUAGCAUUCGCUUAU